AAUAGGUAACUUCUCACAGUGUGGAGGUCAUAAAACAUAAAAUUUAAAAUGCUUAACCUCAGGUUAAUGAUUCAACAGCAUAUUCAUUGAGGGGAAAACCACUUUGGAAGUCAUUCCUGAAGAAUUAUCUCAUCUUUGAAGUAAUGGCCCAUGGCUAAAGAAAUCCCACGGUUCCAGAAAGGAGAGUUGGAAAGAAAAUUUGGAAGAAAUUACUUGAAGAUAAAGAAUUCUCCAAACAAAAGGGAAAUACUGUCCCAAUAUUCAGAGUUAAUUCAAACUCCCUAGUGGGAAGACAAUAUCCAGCUCUGACAAGGGACCACACAGAGGGAUGCUUGGUGUUUCCAAGAGUUCAAUCUGUCCUCCUAGAAAGGAAAGAAAGCAUCAUAUUAUUCUACAUUUGGCUUCAAUCAAGUUCAUUGGAUAUGGUGACUGAGUUUGGAGACUUGCUCUCUUUGUCUCUGUAACAUGUGAGCACACAGCAAGAAAUAGUCAUCUACAAACCAGAAACAGUCAGUGAGCUGUUGAUCUUGAAUUGUACAGCCACCAAAAAUGUGAGAAAAUAAAUUCCUGUUGUUUAAGCCA
rnacentral:lncRNA from 1 species